GAUGAACGCUGGCGGCGUGCCUAAUACAUGCAAGUCGAGCGAACAGACGAGGAGCUUGCUCCUUUGACGUUAGCGGCGGACGGGUGAGUAACACGUGGGUAACCUACCUAUAAGACUGGGAUAACUUCGGGAAACCGGAGCUAAUACCGGAUAAUAUUUCGAACCGCAUGGCUCGAUAGUGAAAGAUGGCUUUGCUAUCACUUAUAGAUGGACCUGCGCCGUAUUAGCUAGUUGGUAAGGUAACGGCUUACCAAGGCAACGAUACGUAGCCGACCUGAGAGGGUGAUCGGCCACACUGGAACUGAGACACGGUCCAGACUCCUACGGGAGGCAGCAGUAGGGAAUCUUCCGCAAUGGGCGAAAGCCUGACGGAGCAACGCCGCGUGAGUGAUGAAGGUCUUCGGAUCGUAAAACUCUGUUAUUAGGGAAGAACAAACGUGUAAGUAACUGUGCACGUCUUGACGGUACCUAAUCAGAAAGCCACGGCUAACUACGUG
rnacentral:rRNA from 1 species